rnacentral:rRNA from 1 species
CUCGUAGGUGGCCAACUAAGUCAAACGUGAAAUCCCUCGGCUUAACCGGGGAACUGCGUUUGAUACUGGAUGGCUUGAGUUUGGGAGAGGGAUGCGGAAUUCCAGGUGUAGCGGUGAAAUGCGUAGAUAUCUGGAGGAACACCGGUGGCGAAGGCGGCAUCCUGGACCAAUACUGACGCUGAGGAGCGAAAGCUAGGGGAGCAAAACGG